GUGAUGAAGUAGCAUACUGUACUUUAAGGUCCUAUAGAGUGAUGAAGUAGCAUACUGUACUUUAAGGUCCUAUAGAGUGAUGAAGUAGCAUACUGUACUUUAAGGUCCUAUAGAGUGAUGAAGUAGCAUACUGUACUUUAAGGUCCUAUAGAGUGAUGAAGUAGCAUACUGUACUUUAAGGUCCAAUAGAGUGAUGAAGUAGCAUACUGUACUUUAAGGUCCUA
rnacentral:lncRNA from 1 species